AAACUUUACAAUGCGGGAAACCGUGAUAAGGGAACUCCGAGUGCCCGUAAAAUCGGGCUGUCCAUCUGUGUAAAAAACAGGUGAAGAAAGGCCGGGCAAGACCGGUGCCAGCCGCCGCGGUAAUACCGGCGGCUCGAGUGGUAACCGUUAUUAUUGGGUCUAAAGGGUCUGUAGCCGGCCGGAUAAGUCUCUUGGGAAAUCUGGCAGCUUAACUGUCAGGCUUUCAGGAGAUACUGUCUGGCUCGAGGCCGGGAGAGGUGAGAGGUACUUCAGGGGUAGGGGUGAAAUCUUGUAAUCCUUGAAGGACCACCAGUGGCGAAGGCGUCUCACCAGAACGGACCUGACGGCAAGGGACGAAAGCUAGGGGCACGAACCGGAUUAGAUACCCGGGUAG
rnacentral:rRNA from 1 species